GACAACGAUGGAUAGGGGUUCUGAGAGGAAGGUCCCCCACAUUGGAACUGAGACACGGUCCAAACUCCUACGGGAGGCAGCAGUGAGGAAUAUUGGUCAAUGGACGAGAGUCUGAACCAGCCAAGUAGCGUGAAGGAUGACUGCCCUAUGGGUUGUAAACUUCUUUUAUAUGGGAAUAAAAUGUUCCACGUGUGGGAUUUUGUAUGUACCAUAUGAAUAAGGAUCGGCUAACUCCGUGCCAGCAGCCGCGGUAAUACGGAGGAUCCGAGCGUUAUCCGGAUUUAUUGGGUUUAAAGGGAGCGUAGGUGGAUUGUUAAGUCAGUUGUGAAAGUUUGCGGCUCAACCGUAAAAUUGCAGUUGAAACUGGCAGUCUUGAGUACAGUAGAGGUGGGCGGAAUUCGUGGUGUAGCGGUGAAAUGCUUAGAUAUCACGAAGAACUCCGAUUGCGAAGGCAGCUCACUGGACUGCAACUGACACUGAGGCUCGAAAGUGUGGGUAUCAAACAGGAUUAGAUACCCUGGUAGUCCACACAGUAAACGAUGAAUACUCGCUGUUUGCGAUAUACAGUAA
rnacentral:rRNA from 1 species